rnacentral:tRNA from 1 species
GGGCAGGUACCAAAGUGGCCAAAUGGGGCAGACUGUAAAUCUGCUGACUCCGGUCUUCGGGAGUUCAAAUCUCUCCCUGCCCA